rnacentral:rRNA from 1 species
GAGGAGUGGCUUCCGGAGCUAACGCGUUAAAUCGACCGCCUGGGGAGUACGGCCGCAAGGUUAAAACUCAAAUGAAUUGACGGGGGCCCGCACAAGCGGUGGAGCAUGUGGUUUAAUUCGAUGCAACGCGAAGAACCUUACCUACUCUUGACAUCCAGAGAAUUUAGCAGAGAUGCUUUAGUGCCUUCGGGAACUCUGAGACAGGUGCUGCAUGGCUGUCGUCAGCUCGUGUUGUGAAAUGUUGGGUUAAGUCCCGCAACGAGCGCAACCCUUAUCCUUUGUUGCCAGCACAUUAUGGUGGGAACUCAAAGGAGACUGCCGGUGAUAAACCGGAGGAAGGUGGGGAUGACGUCAAGUCAUCAUGGCCCUUACGAGUAGGGCUACACACGUGCUACAAUGGCGUAUACAAAGAGAAGCGACCUCGCGAGAGCAAGCGGAACUCAUAAAGUACGUCGUAGUCCGGAUUGGAGUCUGCAACUCGACUCCAUGAAGUCGGAAUCGCUAGUAAUCGUAGAUCAGAAUGCUACGGUGAAUACGUUCCCGGGCCUUGUACACACCGCCCGUCACACCAUGGGAGUGGGUUGCAAAAGAAGUAGGUAGCUUAACCUUCGGGAGGGCGCUUACCACUUUGUGAUUCAUGACUGGGGUGAAGUCGUAACAAGGUAACCA